rnacentral:rRNA from 1 species
GCUAUAAUUGUCAGCUAAGUGGCGCACGGGUGAGUAAUGUAUAGAUAACCUGCCCUUAAGAAAGGAAUAACAGUUGGAAACGACUGCUAAUGCCCUAUAUGCCUUUAAUACAUAAGUAUGCAAGGGAAACGCUUUAGUGCUUAAGGAUGGGUCUGUAUGGUAUCAGCUUGUUGGUGAGGUAAUGGCUCACCAAGGCUAUGACGCCUAACUGGUUUGAGAGGAUGAUCAGUCACACUGGAACCGAGACACGGUCCAGACUCCUACGGGAGGCAGCAGUGGGGAAUAUUGCACAAUGGACGAAAGUCUGAUGCAGCAACGCCGCGUGGAGGAUGACACAUUUCGGUGCGUAAACUCCUUUUAUAUAGGAAGAUAAUGACGGUACUAUAUGAAUAAGCACCGGCUAACUCCGUGCCAGCAGCCGCGGUAAUACGGAGGGUGCAAGCGUUACUCGGAAUCACUGGGCGUAAAGAGCGUGUAGGCGGGUAUAUAAGUCAGAAGUGAAAUCCAAUAGCUCAACUAUUGAACUGCUUUUGAAACUGUAUACCUAGAAUGUGGGAGAGGUAGAUGGAAUUUCUGGUGUAGGGGUAAAAUCCGUAGAGA